rnacentral:rRNA from 1 species
GAUGAACGCUAGCUACAGGCUUAACACAUGCAAGUCGAGGGGAAACGACAUCGAAAGCUUGCUUUUGAUGGGCGUCGACCGGCGCACGGGUGAGUAACGCGUAUCCAACCUGCCCACCACUUGGGGAUAACCUUGCGAAAGUAAGACUAAUACCCAAUGAUAUCUCUAGAAGACAUCUGAAAGAGAUUAAAGAUUUAUCGGUGAUGGAUGGGGAUGCGUCUGAUUAGCUUGUUGGCGGGGUAACGGCCCACCAAGGCUACGAUCAGUAGGGGUUCUGAGAGGAAGGUCCACCACAUUGGAACUGAGACACGGUCCAAACCCCUACGGGAGGCAGCAGUGAGGAAUAUUGGUCAAUGGACGAGAGUCUGAACCAGCCAAGUAGCGUGCAGGAUGACGGCCCUAUGGGUUGUAAACUGCUUUUAUAAGGGAAUAAAGUGAGUCUCGUGAGACUUUUUGCAUGUACCUUAUGAAUAAGGACCGGCUAAUUCCGUGCCAGCCGCCGCUGUAA